CACGUAGGGCGCAAGCGUUGUCCGGAAUUAUUGGGCGUAAAGAGCUCGUAGGCGGUCUGUUGCGUCCGCUGUGAAAACUCGGGGCUUAACCCCGAGCCUGCAGUGGAUACGGGCAGACUAGAGGUAGGUAGGGGAGAAUGGAAUUCCCGGUGUAGCGGUGAAAUGCGCAGAUAUCGGGAGGAACACCGGUGGCGAAGGCGGGUUGCUGGGCCGACACUGACGCUGAUGCGCGAAAGCCAGGGGAGCGAACGGG
rnacentral:rRNA from 1 species